CGACCACUCUCUCCCUUCAACUCUCUGUGUCUGUAUUUGUCACAUCCAGUCCAGAAGAUGGAUGGAAGAGGCUCUAAAACAGGCCAACAAUAGUUGCUAGCACAAGCCAUGCAGUGGAUUGUAAUCUAGUGGCCACUCUGGAUUCUCCAAUUUAAUUAGCCAAUGAGAAGGGAGCUAAAUCAGGAGUUGGCAGGAAUUGAAGCCGCCAGCGCCCACUUCAGCUGCAGACACUGCGAGGUCAUGACAUGCAUCUGACUUUGAUAGCCCAUUCUUUCUUCUCCCUGGCUGGUACAAAUUGGGCAACUGUGGACCCUUUCUCCUCACACAGAGAUGUAGGAUGGAGCAGGGCUGAGAUCUCAAUCGGGCAUUGAUGUGAACAAAGUUAAUCCCUCAUUGGUGCCAAUGUGACCCGAAAAAAUUGGCUUAAAGUGGCUCCGUUAAACUGGACACAGUUUUGCCAUUCAAAGGCGGCACCACUCCCCCCUCCUCCUUUUCUCUCUUCUACCCUCUCUGCCACCCACACACACUACUAGUGGAGCAUUAAGACAAAUACAUUCAUAACCCUGUUUUAUUAAAGACUUGGGGCCCCUGGGUGUUGUGUAGGGGCCCUGGGGGUUCUGGUGCGACAGUGGGGCGAUUAGGAUAAGCCUUUCCAUGAGGGACAUGGACACGGCACAGCAGCAACUGGGCCCUAAGAUGUCUGUUCCCCUCCCACCUCGAAACCUAAUCCCCUAUUUCAUGCACAUUAGUGCUGUGUAAAUGGUCCCCUGCGCUGCCUUUACAGUGAGUUCUGCUUUAAAAGAAAGAUGCUCUAAAGAUGCUGAGAAUCAGACACAUUUUCACAGGUGCAAGGUAGAAAGCAAUGCAAAGAGUGAAAAAAAUCCAUUAAAUAAACUUUUUAUAUAUAAACAAAUAAUACAAUUUGGAUUCCAAAAAUAUUACAAGAUAGCAUUCCUGUGACAAAUGUUAAUAAAAAAAAUGGGCUUUUUUUAUUAAAGUCAUGGAA